UUCUACCAUUAAAAAUUCAAAACUAAACAGAGUGAAUUCUGGGAGUCUACAGGCUCAAUUACGAAAUCAAAAGGACUAAUCCCAGGUUUAACUUUGAGUCUACAAACUCACUUAGGCCCAAACCGAGAGCAACUUGGCCACAGCCCAACAGUUCUUGCUCGUUCUCGCUCAGCCUCAAUUCCUCUUCACCGCAGGUAUCAGAUACACCGGAGAACGAAGAAGGAGAACACGAACAACGAUUACCCUAAAAGAAUUUUCCCAAUUCAAAACCCUAACCAUCUCAAUCAGAAUCCUAAACCCAAUCAAGAAACACCAGACCUGCAGAAGAACAAAACCAACCCAAACGCGAAAUAGCAAUCCAAAAUUUUGGUGAAUAUCCAAAUCCCUAACUCGUAAAAAUCGAAAGAGGGGAUAAGAAGAAUAAAGCCUCUGUUCUUGGACCGUGAAGGUCGCCACCAACACACACUGCCACGAAGGAAACGCCGUGCCCUCAACGUGCCUCUACCGUGCAGUCGUCGCGCUCUCGCCGACAUAGCCGCACCAACGAUGAUCCCUCCAGCUUGAGUGUCCGAGCGAGAAAGAGAGAAGAAAGAAACUAGAGUUUUAACCCCUUUAAAAACGCCCCUCUUGCGACCUCAUCAUUCCCCGCCGCGCUCGCCGCCAACGUUGAGUCAAUCACAAUGAAGAAAAGGAACAGAAACUUCAGGCUUCGGGGUUUCGCAUGAUGAAGAAAGAAGAAAACAAAUUGGGGAAAAAUACCUACUGCAUGCGAGAAAGGAAACUGAAGGUUGGGAGAAAGAUUUUACAAAAAAAAAUUAAAAAGCCAAGCUGGAUGAAGGUUAUGUACAACUAGGAUUUUGAAUAAAUUAAGAUAGAUCAUUUCUUUACAUAAGGCUAUUUGUUAAAACCAUUUCCUCAUUUUAAUUUUAAAUAAACAAAAUAAGCUAGGAAUAAAACCUGACGUAAUAGAAUUCUUUUCCUUUUUAAGGGAAAAGCAAAUCAAAGGUUAGAAACUUAGGGUUUCUCUCUCCAAUUUAAGGUUCCAACCUCCUGUAGCGGUCAUUAUUUUUUUUU
rnacentral:lncRNA from 1 species